GGGAAUGUAGCUCAGUGGUAGAGUGCUUGUCCAGUAUGCACCAGGUCCUGGGUUCAAUCCCCAGCACCGCCU
rfam:Ictidomys tridecemlineatus contig050780, whole genome shotgun sequence.